AAUUUUUACUUUGAGUGAUUACACUUAUACUAUAAAAUGCAACAAGAUAUUUGUUAAAGUAAAUGUGGAGUACAUAAUUAAAACAGAGGUAAAUUAAGAUGAUAAAAUAUCACUUUCAGAAUAUAAUAAAGACUGAGAUAAUAAAGGUUGUGUUGGAUUAGUAUAAAUCACGUGGAAUAUGAUAAUGCGACUGUAAGAAGAAAUGGACUAAUGGUUGUCCAAAUUAAAAACUAAAUUUAUUAUAAUUUUGUUUCAUGUGGAUUGUGUAUAGUUUAUGGUGUAAUGAUGAAAUAGAGACAACAAAACACCGGUUUUGUAAAAUGUAAAAUUAUUAGUAACGAUAAAUGGAUAGGAGUUGAUUAAGUUUCACUAUUAAUAGUUUUACUCACCUGACUUAGAGUUGUGGAUUAGAUGACAUGCAUACAACAGGCUCGUUUAAAUUGUGCAUUAUGAAAAAUUUGCAAAAAAAAAAAAAUGUUUAAAUAGUAUGACAACUAAUUUUGGUAUGUAAAUGGAACAUGUUGGCAAAUGGAGGCUGAUUACUCCCUGAUAUUUUGUAUAAACGAGUUGAGUUGGAUCAUCUUUCUAAUGUUUUAUUUAAGUUUAUUAAUUCUUUGUUAAUAAAGAAAAGCAUAGGUAAAUUAAGAUGCAAAAGUUCUUACCUGUUACAUCCAUUAAUAGUUCUUCCAGUAUUCCUGUAUCACCCGAAAACGAAGGAAAAUAUCAAUUUCAGAACUGUUAAUCUCAACAACUAUACCAACUAAAUGCAUGACUUUUUCUACAAGCAGCUUAUGUGCAUGAGUUCUAACUAAUAAUACAGGUAAAAUAUACAAAGUAAUGAAUUAAUACUCAUCUAAAAAUUGAUAGAAUACAGAAGGGUGAAUCAUAAAUAUAAAUAUAUAUGUUUGACAUUUGGUUUAGGAUCACUCACCAUACCCGCAAUUAAGCUUCUGGUUAGAAGAGUCGAAAUAGCAAUCUCUAUAGGAAAGUGAACAAUGUUUCUGACAGGGUAGUUUUAUCCAUGAAAUCUCGAAUCCAUAGGCGAGUGCGGUGUGCAUGGAAGAGUAGGAAUGGUUAUCGAAAGUGGAGAGAGAAGUGGGAGCAACAAGCUUUACCUCACACCCAACUUCUAAGUCCUCUGCUUUUAGGUCUCCACCAAUUGCAUAUGAAUACCCCUUCCCCUCCCACUUCACCCACUCUCCACUCUCCACAUACUUCCCUUUCUCUCCCACCGAAUCGUUACAAUUCACCAACACUAUAUGCGAGAAACUCAGAGAUUCCCAAUUUACAGAGGCUCUUAGACCAGCUUGGUAUGGAUCCGUGUAGUAAGCGUAAGUGUCAGAGAAAUUGGAGCGAGAGAGGAAACGGAGAGGAAGGGAGGAGAGAUUAUGGUGUUGAAGAGCAGGAUCAACCACUCUCACUGUGUAGUUCUUGUAGUUUAUUGAUUGCACAUGAUAUUUUCCAGAGUAGAGAUACAACACCGUAACGUUAUUCUCACAACCAAGCUCAUACCUUUCCUCACCACACUCUUCUGGGUCGCCUUUGAAUCGAAAAGGGUAAUUGAUGUUGGUGAUUUGACCACAGGAAGAGGAGGGGCAGCCACCAUGAAUUUUGUGGACUAGAAGUAGCAGUACCACCAUGAAUGCUCUCUCUCUCCACAUCAUGUCCAAACUGUUUCUCAUUGAAUUCAAGUGCAAACAAAUCCAAGUUAGAUACUUAUAACAAGAGAGACUGAACUAUAUAUAUACCUAUGAAGGACCACAUUUUUCCUUUUAGAAGAUUGUUUGAAGACUUAUGUAUGAUACGUACCGUGAAUUCUUAUUUAGGUAUUUAAUAAUGUAAAUUUUUUAAUGGGAGUUCUUUGAGUUUCUAAAGCCAUCCUAAAUCCUUCUCUUUUGGAAGGUUUUAUUAAUAUGCUGUUCAAAAACAAUUUUAUGGAAUUACUUUGAGAAUCCAAUUAAAGAAAUAGUUCAGGACUUACUUUUAAAUAGAGACAAAACAUAAAUAUAUAUUAUAGUAAAUCAUGGAAAAAUGAUCGAAAUAAUUUUUUAAAUCCUGAUUGAAAAACAAUAUUUUUAUAAUGCUUUUGAUUUUUUUUUUCUACUUUAAAUAUUUGAAAUUAUUUAAGGGCUAAAAGUUCUACCACAUAUAGACUUCAUAUAGACUUCUGGCGAAAAGGAUAUUUUUCCAUUAAUAUCCGUAUUGAUAAGCUUUAUUGAGCCACAAAUUCUAAUGAGUUUCACAGGUUUGUCUUAUCUAAACACUUGAUAUGCAAGUACAUAAUUGACGCAUUCAAAUGACAAUAUAGGUAGAUUUUUUUUAUCAAUAAAAAAUAAGAACAUAUUAUAUGUUUAAGAUAUUUGAAAAAUAUUUCAACCCUAUUAAAAAAACAUAAAUUGUGUAUAUACAUAACUCAAGUAAUCAUAAAUAAGCAUAACAUCCUAUUAUAAUAAUCGUCCAAAAAAAUGCAUCCUCACCACCAUCCGUCCCACACCAUAAACAGCUAGAUGAGAAUUUUAUAAACUACAAGAAAAUCAUUAAAUAGAAAUCAAUUUUUAGAAACAAAAAAUAAUUAGUUGUUAUAUUGACUAAAUUAGAUAUCAUUUUAAAAAUUAAAAAAAUUAUUUUUUAAAUUAGUUUGUAUUAUUGUUAAAUAAUUUCUAAAUUUGUAUUUAAUUAGCUACCAAGGUUUUUGCUACCAAAUUUAAAAACUAAAUAAUUGGUAGCUAAUUACAUAUCAAUACUAAUUUAGAAACCAAUAAUUUUUUUAGUCUCUAAAAUGGUCUCUAAUUUAGUCAAUAUAACAAUUAAUUAUUUUUUGUCUUUAAAAUUAGUUUCUAUUUAAUGAUUUUCUUAUAAUGUUAUAAUUACAGAGAUUACAACAACACAAGGCUAAAUAGUACACAUAAUGUAUGUUAGGGUUGAUUCUUCGCGCGCAAGACUUGAACCCUCAGGACGUUGUGUUGUUGGGAUGGAAAACAAUGUCGUCAAAGUUGGUUUUGGAGUUGUGGCAAUUUUGGGUUGUUGCCUUUUUUCACUCUAUAAAUAGGGGUUUCAUACACCUUUCCAAAAUCAUCACUCGCGACUUCUAACACUUUUUCUCUUUUAUUUAUUUCUUUCUUUCUUUCUAAUAUUUUCUUGGGUUCUUACUCUUUUAAGAGUUGUUUGUUAGUUUUGAUGUUCUCGAUAAUAUCUGAUAAGUUCCUAUUGUAUCUUGGAGAACUUGCGCAAUACACAGCGGAUAAGUACUAACAAACAGUGAUCAUCACGCCUCAGGAAGUCAACAUUGUUCGUGUUUUUUCAACCUUAUUCACUACAAUUGUAAGGAAUUAUGGUUGAGAAUACGAACAAAAACAACAAGUCUACAUUGGAGACGUCAAACAAUGUUUCCGCAACACAAAGCAUCUUUGUGAAAUUGUUUCUAGAUGUCACAAAAAUUGAAGACUUCGCUGAUAAAUUUUUUUUACCCUGGCAAGAAUGUCUGUCUACCCUGUUGGACAGGUAUAGAAUCGCUUUUACACUUACAACUUCUAAACCCAACUCAAGCACACUUUCAAAAAAUAUUGACGAUUGGACUUGUGCAAAUAAGGUAUGUCGUCACACCUUUCUCGGUGUUUUAUAACAAUCUGUUUGAUGGCUAUUGCUUUUACAAGAAAGCAAAAUAUAUUUGGGAUUCUCUUAUUCUCAAAUAUACUGCCGAAGACGUCAUUAGACAAAGGUUCAUGAUUGAAAACUAUUAUCAUUGGGAGAUGAUUGAAGACAAGGACAUCAAAAUUCAAAUGAACGAAUACCACAAGCUGCUUGAAGAUAUCAAAUAAGAAACCAUAGCUUUUCCUAAUGAAUUCGUUUCUGAAUUACAAAUCAAAAAAUGUUUGCAAUCAUGGACAAACUACAAACAACAACUGAAGUAUAUGCACAAACAAAUGUCAUUGUCAGACCUGAUUACCCAGAUCAUCAUUGAAGACACUAACAAAAAUGUGUGUGUUGCUGCAAGGGCUAAAGCCUUGUUUGCUAAGGCAAACAUGGAAGAAGACAAACCAACUGCAAAAAGGUACGAGAAAAAUCUUGAUUACAAGAAAAAUAAUAAAUUUUCUUGUCCCUAACCCCACCUUCAAGAAGAAGGGAAAUUGCUUUGUUGAUGGAAGGCUAGGUCAUCAUGCACCUCAGUGCAAACAUAGGGCAAAAAACGACAAUUCUUCUAAGGAAUAUAUAGUCAAAGAGGAAAAUACCAUUGUUGCGAUCGUUUCACAAGUGAAUCUUGUGACCAAUGUGAGUAAAUGAGUGGUAGAGUCUGGGGCUACCAGACACAUAUGUGCGAACAAAAAUGUGCUUACCUCCUACACAAGUGUGGGGGAUGGAGAAGAACAAGUCUAUCUCGGUGAUUCCAGGACAACUCCUAUCCUAGGAAAAUGAAAGGUUCUUCUAAAGCUCACAUAUGGUAAGACUUUGGCUUUAAGUGAUAUGCUACAUGUGCCAUUGAUUAGAGUUAAUUUGAUCUUUGUAGCAUUGCUAGGAAAAAUUGGGAUUAAAGUGUUAUUUGAAUAUGACAAGAUUGUUAUGAAAAAAUAUAAUAUUUUUGUGGGGAAGGGAUAUUGUGAUCAAGGUCAUUUUGUAUUUAACAUUUAUGAAGUUAUUAAUGAAUAUGAGUAUUCUACUUAUAUUGUUGACUCUUCUGAUGUGUAUCAUGCUAGAUUAGGACAUGUGAAUUCUUCGUAUGUUAUGGUAUCGCAACGACUAUGAUUAAUUAACAUGCAUAAAAAACAAAAUAGUAAAUGCGAUAUAUCUAUAGAAUCUAAAAUAACGAAAAAAAUGUCAUUAUGUAGAACGUCAAAUUGAAUUUCUUGGUUUAAUUCAUACGAACUUAUUGAUUUAAAACAAAUCAUGUCUAGAGGCGAUAAACAUUAUUUUGUAUUUAUAUAUGAUUAUUCUAUAUACACCAAAGUGUACUUGAUUAAACAUAAAGAUGAAUUAUUUGAUAUGUUCUUAACUUAUAAGACGAAAUUAGAAAAUCAAUUCAAUAGGAAAAUUAAAAGAAUUAGGUCAGAUAGAGGUGGUGAAUAUGUUUUAUUUAAUGAUUUUUGUGUUAAAGAAAUUAUUAUUCAUGAAGUAACCCCACCAUAUUCAUCUGAAUCUAAUGGUGUAGCUGAAAGGAAAAAUAAGACUCUUAUAGAAAUGAUGAAUGCGAUGUUUAUUAGUUCUAAUGCUCUUGAUAAUCUUUGGAGUGAAUCUUUGCUUACAACAUGUUGUUUUGCAAAAUAAGAUAUCAUAUAAGAAAACUGGUAAAAUACCUAAGAGUGUGGAUGUGUUUAGCUAAAGUGGUGUUACCUAAUCCUAAGAAAAGAAAAAUAGGUUUUAAAACUUCUGAUUGUUUGUUCUUAGACAAUGCAAAACAUAAUAUUGCCUAUAGGUUUCUUGUUCUUAAUAGUGAUAUAAUUAAACGUAACACUAUAGUAAGGAGCUUAUUGCAUUUAAUGAGUUCUUCUAGAUCAUAUAUUGCUUAUGCAGUAAGUAGAUUGAGUAGGUACACUCAAUGUCCUAGUCAAGAUCAUUGGGAUGCGCUUGCAAGACUCAUGAAAUACCUAAGAGGAACAAUGGAGUAUGCCAAUGAAUAUAGUGGAUUCCCCGUUGUAUUAGAAGGGUACAAUGAUGCUAAUUGGAUCUCUGAUUCAUGUGAGACAAAAUCCACUAGUGGUUAUAUGUUUACACUUGAGGGUGGUGCAUUUACAUGCAGAUCAACUAAGCAAACAAUUAUUGCAAGAUCAACAGUGACAUCUAAGUUUGUUGUUCUCAAAAUGGAUGGUAGUGGAGCUGAGUGGUUGAAAAAAUUCUUAGUAGACAUUCCAUUAGGAAUGAAACCUGUUAGAAUACAUGGCCUUAAACGAGAGGGGGGGUGAAUUGUUUAAGAAAGGUUUUUGAAAAAAAAUUCAGCUAGAACAAAAUCCUUUGUAUGAAACUCAAUCAGAAAUUCAGUUAGCCAAGAUAUAAAGCACAAAACAGCAAAGCACCAGAAAAACAAUCAGUUGUUUAUACCAGCAAAGCAAUAACAGUUGAAUUUAAAUGAGUUUAAGGGAAGAAAGAGAUACACAAACAGUUUAUACUGGUUCACUCUUAAACCAAAAGCUACAUCCAGUCCCCAGAAGCCACUGGGCAAUCCACUAAGCAAUCAACACAGAUUACACACAAACCACCAAAGAAGUGACCUUGAACCCUUCAAGAAACACACUUCCUUUGGCACAACACACACCAAGAAUGUUGAUCUUGACAACCUCAAGAGCACACAACACUCUUUGGCAACAACAUCAAAAUUUACAGAAAAUUCAGAACGAAUUACAGUUGUUUACAGAACAAUCUGAAAUCAAUACAGAUGUAAUCCUAUUCCACUCUCUCUUGAGAAAACCCAAAGCUUUUUGUGAAUAUUCAAAACUUGAAAGCAAUCUUUCACAAAUAAAAAACUCAAAUCUGUUUUUUCUUGUUUGUUAUAAAACAUAAACAAACAAUUUAUAGCUUUCAAAGAUUGGUCAAAACAUUUAAUUGAGGAGCGUAAACAGUUGGAAAUCAUUUAAAGCACACUCAACUAACAAAACAGAAUUCUUUUAGGAUUUUCAAAGGAACAAUUGAUUGAAACGACGAAACAAUCGAUUGUUUUGACAGCAAGUCAACCAACCAAAACAGUUUUCAACCUUUUCAAAAACACCUAAGAGCAAAACAAUCGGUUGUUUCGACAAAACAACAAGUUUUUUUCACUUAGUUUGAAAAACACUUUAAACUCAAAAAGGUUUUAAAACACAUUAGCUUUAGAUUCAACAAAGAGUGGAUUACACAAAUAAACUACCCAUAUCCUAUCCUAAACACAACAGCAACUCCAGCCUUGCAUCAAACACUUGAAUUAGGAUUCUUCAAAGCCUUUGAUCACUGUAAAUCAACAAAACCGACCCCUUCUGUAUCAAUACAUUGUGAUUUCCAAUCGACAAUAGCUAUAACAAAAAAUAAAACUUACAAUGGAAAGAAUAGGGAUAUACAAUUGAGCAUAAUUGAUUUAAUAUUAAAUUUGUCCAUUCCUUUGGUGUGUGAAAGUUCUAUACACUGCAUUAUCGAGGGGGUAAACUGUGUGGUUAAAUGUAUGAGUUAUAAGAGUUUUACUGUCUAACAAAGUUUUAAUGAUUUCUAUAUCCCUUACCGGUGGUGUAUGAUUUGUUGCAUACACUUGAUGAAAUCACCUAUACGAGUGUCAAAUGGGGUCGCUUGCAUGGGAUCUUGGCAAGAUUUCUCGAGCACUCAUGAAUACCAGGCACGCACAUGGCCUAGUAACUGCAACAUAACGAUAACAACAAAAUUUGUGAUGGUGUAUUGUGAUUGAUAAACCGCUAACACAUACUAAGUGUCUCGGUUCUUAUAACUUGCUCUAUCAACUACACUGUGUGUUAAGUUCAUCAGUCUAAGAAUGGUUUAUAUAGUUUGUUAUACCAACUAUGAUGCAUUACUAUCUUUUGCAGUAUGUGGGGGGGAUUGUUGUAAAACCGAUUGAGAUAUCACCUUUUAUAACGAUGAUGCAUAACAAACCCAAAGAGUGUCAUUCCGUUGUUGCGUCUUUUCCGUCGACCUCCAUGCACCUAUCCUGAUCUUCUUUGAGCGCUUCUCGGAUGCAGGGCAUAUUUCCAUCUGCUAUGCAUGCUUUGGUUGCUUCCAAAUGUAUUUCAUUUCCAAAUCCCAAUGUAGUUGAUCCUUUUUAUGCUAUCCAACGCACAUAUUUUGUGUCCUAAUUGUUUCUUUGUGGGAGCAUAUGAUGUGUCUCCUUGCCUUCAAAUGAUCAUUGCUACCCCUGCACUGCAAACUAGAUUGGGCACUCUAUGUCUCUAAUAAUUCUUCCCAUAGUGCCCAACUAUGCAGCUAUUGCAACUCAACUCCCCUUCAUUUUUGUUGCAGAUGUACCAAACCAUAUAGCAAGCUCCCUCAGCUCCCCUUCAUUUGCAGAUGCUUCAAACCAGAUAACAACCUUCAGCUUCCCUCUGCUACAAUUGCACCAGAUCAGAAGGCAUACUCCUAGGCAAGAAUAUUGCAUCUCACUUCCCUCUUCACUUCAUAUCUUUGUCCCUAUAAUAAACUUGAAUAUUAUUGAUGGUGAUUGUUGUUGGUAUUUCAUCCCCUGAUUAAAAUUCCAACACAUACAAUAAACCACCUUUCUCGAUUCUUCAAGCAAUAUAAUUUACUCCACCAAUAAAUGAGCUAAAAAAUUUCAGCAACCAAAGGAGUACAUAAAAACUCCUACCAAGUAGUACCAUUGAACUUGGCAUAGAUGAUCUCCAAUAAAUAUGGUCCCACUAAAUACAAAACCUAAUCACCCACUAAAUACACAUUUUUAACCAAAGGUUUGGCAUGUUCCACUCAGUUAACCCAAAUUUAAAGUUUUUAACUUUUACUUUCACCCAAGUCUAGGUUUUUAAUUCGCCCAUGUAGAAGACUUCAUUGCUUAAAAAUUGUCCAAUUCCUAAGAUCCCAAAUACACCCAAUGAUAACAAUCCAUAACUCCUUCCAUAUCAAGUUUUGUUUUCGGUUUACAUUAUACAGAUGGAUUGUUCAAAAUGACACCUUAGAUCGUCAUGUUGUUCGAACAUAAUGUUUAUCCAUCUAUAACAUAUAUUCCGCACCGAACUUGAAAACUUGAUCUGCAGGAACAAAUGUUGUACAAUUUCUUCCUCUUCUUUAUAGAGAGGGCAGACGCUUGAACUUAAAGGAACCCCUCUUCUAAUUACGUUGUCUUUGGUGGCUAGUUUACCCAAAAGAGUCCUCCAUGCUUGGGUCAAGGCACUAGGAACCACUUUGAUAGACCAGAGGGUAUAAAAUAGGUUACAAUUUUUAGUGUUGGGGUAUUAAAUAUCAUCUUAUAGGUUGUUUUGACUAAAAACAAAUCAGACUCGUCUGUUGCCCACAACCUUGAGUCGCCUUCCUCCCUAUACAUUUCUAUAUUAUUUGAAAACCUCUAGGAAACAUAUUUUUUUGCAUAUAUUUCCACUCAAACCUAUUCCUUUUCCAAUUUAAUCUUCAUUGCCAACCAAACUCUGUCCAAACACCUAAGUCCUUUAACAAUCUACCUUAGUCUAAGGAUAUGGAGUACAACCUAGGAAAAAUAUUCUUAAGGCUCUUACUUAUCCUCCUUUAAUAUGAUUUUGUCCUUUGAUCCUAUUUUCCAUCAGAAACCAUUGUCAAACCAAUUUAUGUCUUCUCCCACACACUUUGCUUAAAUCUUUCCACCACCAUUACUAAGCUUAACUUGUGUAGUUAAAUGUUCAUAACAUCUUAAGAUAGCUUUAAUGCAAAGCACAUAGCACAUUUUGAUAACUAUUAUCACACAUAAAUAGUGUAUCAUCUGAAAAAUGUAAUAGAUAGAUUUCAACUUCUAACCUUCCUAUUGAAAUUAAUAAUCAUUGAUUUGUUUUUAUCAGUUGAACGUACAUGUACACUAAUGCUUUGUUCUCAUCAAAGAAUGUAUUUGAAGGAGUGAAAAAACGAGAGAAAGAGAGUGAAAAAUGAGAUGGUUUGAAUUGAGGGAAAGAAAAUAAGAAGUGAAAGAAAAAUGUGUGAAUGAUUUGAUAGAUAUAAUAAAUUUAAAAUGAUUAUAAAUAAUUUAAUAUAAAAAAAUUUAGAAAGAUAAAUUAGAAUUAAAAUAGAUUAAAAAAUAUAAAUGAAAAAUAAUAAUAAAGAUACUAUUAAGAAGUGGACGUUAAGUCUAACUCAACCACAUAACACCGGCUCAUAGAGUUAAGGUUUGCACUCACUUAUAUACAAUGAAAUGUCCUUAUCUCUAGUCGAUGUGGGAUCUCCAACACACCCCUCAUAUUAUGGGUGGUGGCCUGAUAAACCCAACAAACACUCGCUAGGAUAGGCUUGAAAUGGCUCUGAUACAAUAUUAGAUAGUGGACUUUAAGCCUAACUCAACCCCAUAAAACCGGCUCAUAAGAUUGAGGAUUGCACCCACUUAUAUACAAUGAAAUGUCCUUAUCUCUAGUCGAUGUGGGAUCUCUAACACACCCCCUCACGCCGAGAGUGAUAGAUAGAAGCUCGUGCGUGGGAUAACAUAUUAUGGGUGGUGGCCUGAUAAACCCAACAAACACUCGUUAGGAUAGACUCGAAAAUGACUCUAAUACCAUAUUACAAAGUGGACUUUAAGCCUAACUCAACCCCAUAAAAUCGGCUCAUGGGGGUGAGGUUUGCACCCACUUAUAUACAAUUAAGAAAGUUUGAAGAAAUAAAAAUACUUUAAUUUUUGUGAUUUCUAUUUUUUUUUCGAUUUUAAUUUUCUCUUCAAGAUCGGCGUAUUUUUUUCGCCUGGAAACAAAUAUACCGUAAAAGGAUUAUUUAAAGUUUGAAAGAUGUUUUGAUUUUUUCCAUUAGUCCGAUAAAGGAGACAGUGGACCUAGGAUUGUGACAGGAAGCUUAAUGCAGGUUUAAAUUUGGAAGAAAUUCACUGAUUAGUGUAUAGAAAAUAUAACCCACACUCACUCGGUAUUACCUUGACUUGGUAGAGCUAAAUGAAUUUGAAUAAAUCAUUUAGCUAAUUCGACAUCGGAAUUCAUAUGUUCUUUUCAUCAGACAACGACAACCCAAGCUGCGAAGCUUCUUCCUCAUCAUCAUCAACUUAUAAUUUCUUUUAUUUUCUUCUUUUUUCUAACCUCUCUGGUAUGGCUUAUCACUUGGUCAAAAGUUCCACCACAUGUAGACCAACUUUCCAUUAGUAUCCGUAUUGAUAAGUUUUAUUGAACCACAAAUUCUAAUGAGUUUCACAGAUUUGUCUUAUAUAAACACUUGAUAUGCAGGUACAUAAUUGACGCGGUCAAAUAACAAUAUAUGUAGAAAUAAUUCAUAUAUUAAAAUUAAUAAUUAUUGAUUUAUUUUUAUCAGAUCAACAUACAUGAACACUACAAGAAUUAUUUAAAGUUUGUAUUGAAAUUCUGCAUUAACUAAAUUUUUUGUAAUAUAUAAAUAGAAAUAAAUUUUAUUUUAUAAAUCAAUUUUAUAACUUUAAAUUAAAAUUAAAAUUCACUUUUAAUACUUAAUUGUUGGAAAAAUAUUUUGAUUUCUUUGAUUAGUGUCUGAUAAAGAAGAGUCUGGACCUGUGAGAAGCUUUAAAUGAAUUUGAAUAAGUCAUAUAGCUAAUUCGACAUCAGAAUUCAUAUGUUCUUUUCAUCAGACAACAACCCAAGUUGUGAGGCUUCUUCCUCAUCAUCAACUUAUAAUUUCUAACCUCUCUGGUACGGCUUGUUAUUACAAGGCCAAUUUUAUUUUUUUUUCAAAUUCCAAACAUUAUGUGUUGUAAAACACAAAUUCUUUUAGGUGAAACUUAUGUGUCAACUUUCAAUCAAUAUUCAAUUUUCUGUCGCUCAUUAAUUCAAAUUUUAUUUACUAAAUUAGAGUUUGAAUUAGUCUGGUUUACCAAGUGUUAUUUAUUCAAGUUUUAUUAGUGUAGGUUUAAAGAGUUACCUAAAACAUGAUGAAAUGGCUUCUUUUCAAUGUAGCGAGAAAACAUGAUGGGAGAAAACUUCAAUUAAAAUGUAAAUUGCAGAAGAGUUAGCAAGUUAUUAUGAAUGUAGCUAGCCUCAGUCAAACAAUAUUUAAUGCUAUGAUAUUUUAUGAAGAAAUAAUCUUUAAUAUUUUAUUAAAGUCAAUCAUAUAUAUUACCAUAUACUUAAAUAUUUUAAUUAUAUUCAAGUGUUAUUAAUAAAUAUUAUGAGUUCAAAGAAAAGUUCCUUCAAUUUAGUAACUAAUUGGAGUACAUUUAUGCAUACUUUUAUAUUCAUGCUUAGCAUAUAGUGAAUAUGUGGAUUUGAGAGGCUAGUUCUUGAAUUAAACUUUUUUAUAUACAUGACUAAUCUCUUAACCUAAAAGUUCUUAUUUUGUUCAUAAAUAUUUCAAUCCUAUUCCACUUUAUUUGUAACUAAUGAGACUUUCUUAGCGACAAUAAAAAAAUUUAAAUUAAAUAAAUUAUUUGAGGUAAUCCACCCGAUAUACAAAACUUUAUCUAUAAAAUUGUAUUUGUACCAAAAACCUACCUCCAACAAAAUGCCUAUGACUCACAUAAGAAGUCAAAAAGAACCUUAGGACAACCCACAACCAUUAGGAGCAGUCUUAGUCCUAAGGCAUAAAUGUGGCUCUGUAAACAACAGUUAGAAGCACAGUAACAAAACCAUAUGCAGAAAGUAUAUCAGCACUUGAAGUUGAACUAAUGAAAUAUGUAGGAUGACAUGCAAAAUUUAGUGCUCCAAGUUUCUCCAGCUCCCUCCCACAACAUAACACCCCUUGCUCCGUUAGAAUAAUGCACCUUUUGUACCAAAAUUAGCAUCUUCCUUACUUACAGUGGCCUUAGGCAAUUUUAUGGGAUAAAAUUGUACUUGGCUAAGGAUUAAUGUGAUGGUUGGAGUUUGCCUUCUUUCUACACCAUAUUCACCAUAAUGUGGAACUUGAAAUGCUUUUCUUUACAAUUGUAUGUUAUUGUUCGAGAGAUCUUAUGAAACAAAACAAACAAGGAAUAAUUAGCUACCCUGUUAUAGGAGAAGCUGCAUUUAAAAAAUAUGGUUGAGUUAUUGUAUUAAUAAGGAUUUCUUUGCUUUGAAUUCUAAUUUUGAUAAUAUUCGACUUUCCCCUUUAAAUAAGCUUUUACUUCUUUCACCAGGACCAUCACUUUAUUCACCCAUCACACUUCUUUUCAUGUUUGUAUUUCAAAGUUAAACAUAUUAAAAGAAAUGAGUACAACAAUUUUUGUUGUUGUUAUCUAACCAAAAAAACUGAAAUAAAUAAGACUUAUAAGCACAAACUAAUGAGUUCACGAAGAAACUUCAACUUGAUGGGAAAAAAUGCAUGCGAAAACAAUAUAUACAAUCACGAAUCAAUUGCAAAAAAUAAACAACACAGGAUUUAACGUGGUUCGGUCUCAAAUCUGCAACCUACGUCCAUAGGCAACUAAUUAGGUUUUCAUUCUGUUUGUUACAAUUUUAUUUCAAACACAAAGAUCUCUUAAGUAGAGAUUAUGGAGAGGACACAAUAAUUAAGCACACUCACUAAAACAUGGUGUUUAAUCCGUCCAACCGAAUUGAUCCUAGAUUCACACUCAACUCAACCCUCUCUUCACACAUUGUCUUAAUCCCAAAGUUUAUAGGGCUUAAUCCCAAAGUUUAUAGGGCUUAUCAUAACUUAGUGGCCUUGUAUUUGUUGAACUUGUAACCUAUCUGCUUCAACUACGGAUUGAAAUAAACAUUUGCAAUUUUUCUUCAAUUGCUGAUUUGAGAUUUGACUUCAUGUAAUUAAUUAAAUAAACUAGUAGAAUCCAAAUUUCACUUUUUAACAAAAGUAAAUAAAAAAAGUAAAAUAUUUGCUUCCGUUUAAGAGAUGUCACUCUUUUACUUUUCAUAAAAAAAAUUAAAAUUUCUUAGAGUCCACUAAGCUAUGUAUUACGAAGUGGACUUUAAGCCUAACUCAACCCCAUAAAACCGGAUCAUAGGGUUGAGGUUUACACCCACUUAUAUACAAUGAAAGGCUCUAAUCUCUAGUCGAUGUGGGAUCUCCAACACUAUGUACAUUUUUUAUUUAUAAAUAAAGAUUUUACAUAAGAUUUCAAAGAGUUUUUACAAGUUUUAAUUUAUUAAAAUAUAUAAAUCAUUUCAAUCAAAUUAAAGUUGACUAAAUCUAUAAUAAUAAUUUAGGUCGAUCUAAAUUUUGAAAACUAAAUUCAUGUUUACGAGAUACUUGAUAUUAGAAAACUAUAAAUCAUGAUGCCUUAAAAGCAUUUACUUUAUAUUUAAUCAAUUGUCUUAACCAAUAAUAAUGAAAUAAAUUACCAACUAUUAAUGAAAUAUUUAGAACAGAUAAAUAAUAAUUUUAAAGUGUUUAGGGUUUAGUAAUAAUAUGAAAGUUGCAUAGUAAUAUGAAAGUUUUUAUAUAUAAAUAAAACUGUAAACAUAUUAUAUCACUACAAGAAAAAGUGAUUUUAGAAACUAAAUUUUUGGUUUCUAAAAUGAUAAAAUUAGUCACUAACUUAAUUAGAGACUAAUUUAGAAACUAAUAGUCUUAAGUGGCUAAAAUCAUAGUCGCUAAUUUUAGAUACCAAUUUAGAUUCUAAUUUAGAAACCAAUUUAGUUACCAUUAAAUAAAAACCAAUUUAGUGACCAAAUAUAUAGAAACUAAUUUAGUGACCAAUUAUAUAGAAACCAAAUUAACAAUUUUAUAAAAACCAAUUUAGUGACCAAAAUAUAUAAAAACUUAUUUAGUGACCAAAUAUAUAAAUACCAAAAAAGUCACUAUAUUGGUUUCUAAAUAAUAUAAUUUAUUAUAAAAUAUUUAUUAUUAUUAUUAUUAUUUGUUUUUUAUAUUUAUUUUUUAUAUUUAUAUUUAUAUUUAUAUAUUUUUUAUAUUUAUAUAUAUAUAUAUAUAUAUUUAUAUUUUAUCAAGUGUAAAUCUUAGCCAAAAAGACUUCAAUACUUUAUAUUUUAAGUGACACUCAUUAAAAACAUAUCAAACUUUAUAUUAAGUUGUAUGAUAGCUUAUAGAACCAUUUUAAAUGAAUCAAAUAGAUAAUAAUAAAAAAAAAUAAAACUUCUUUUAAGUAAUAACUCUUUAGAAACAUAUCGAACUGAAUAACAUCAUAUGCAUUUUAUUAUCUGUUUCCUAGUUUAAUUAGAAAAACAUUAAAGAUUCUAGCAGUGUAAACUAUUGGGCGACUGAUAGUUAUUUAACAUUAGUAUUUAUAAGAAACGAACAAGGAGGAAACAAAAAAUUGUGAGGUUAUACCAAAAAGGGAUAAUAAUACUUAAUGGGAGGUAAAACGACUUGUAAUGAACAAUACACCGAUGCCUGCAGAAGAUGAUAUCCAUAUGUUAUUAUUAGUAUUGAUUUCUCAAGACAAAAAAGAAUAAUGGACAAGUAACUGAAGAGAAAAUACAUAGAUUGCAUUGAAAACAUAGCACAUUGCUAGCUAGUAAUAAGAGAAGGAACCAGUAACAAGCAAAUUUCACAUCAUAUUCUUCACCAUGCCCAGCCAAAAAAGAACUGCAUUAUUAGUUUUGGCAAAUACAAUUCUAUAUAAUAUUCUGUGUUUCAAGGUUGAUGAUAUUAGAAACAACACAACUCACUAUUUCAAAAUCUAUAUGUANNNNNNNNNNNNNNNNNNNNNNNNNNNNNNNNNNNNNNNNNNNNNNNNNNNNNNNNNNNNNNNNNNNNNNNNNNNNNNNNNNNNNNNNNNNNNNNNNNNNCUUUCCGAAUCUAAUAAAGAACACGUUUAAACAGGGGACAAAAUUUCAUUCAGAAUAAAACUCAAUGUGAACUAAAGAAAACAAAUAGCAAAAGACUCAGUGUAAACUUCAAAACAGAAAAUUUGCUUUCUGUUGUUAGGACACUGCAAGUGACAACAAAUAACAAUAGAAUAAUUAAUUAAUCAACAAAAGAAAAAUAUAUUUGUGAAGUUUUUGACAUAUUUCUUAUUUAUUCAUUGAAUCAUUCACCAAUCAUCCACAAACUGAAAGUGUUUCAAUUGGCAAGUUAUAAUUUCUCAAAUUUUAAUCACAUUGAAAACAAAUGGCAAAUCGGCUAACAUAACAAGCACAACAAUUUGAAUGCAUUUUAGUUGCAGUUGUGCUUCAUUCAGUGCCAACAGUAACCGUGAAAAUGUUUCUAUAACUUUUAAAUGUUUACAUUAUAAUAACUCAUUAAAACUUAAACUGGCGUAUCAAUUUGUAUCUUCAAUCAAAUCUGAUUUCUCCUUAAGAAUUAAAAGAUACAUGAGUUCUCCUUAAGAACUAACUCUCCGUGAGUAUUUUUAGGAAAUACAACAAACAUGAUAACCGAAAUUAGGGUUUUAACCGAAUUUAGGGUUUUAAGAUGGGGAAGAUACAAUGAGUAAAGUUGUGAAACUUCGAUGAACAAGAAAAAAAUUAAAGACAAAGAUCGAAAAUGGAGCAUGAAAUAAUGGAGCGAGAAUGAAACUUACGAUGAUAAGCAGAGUGAGUUGCCGUCGCGGGGGCGUUGCCGUCGCGAGUGUGUUUCCGUCGCAGGGUGACGUUGCAGGGUGCCGUCGUAGGGUACGGUCGCAGGGUGCGGUCGCAGGGUGCGCGGUUCCAGUUGCAGAGUUGUUGAGAGUGAGAGAUGAGAAGAAAAGUUAGAGAGAUAAAAUUUUGAAAUUAAAAAUCCUGCAGAAUAUUUGCUCUCAAAUUUAAAAAAAUUAAAUUGAUAUUAAUUAUUUUAAUAUUAUACUAAAAUUAAUAAAUUAGUAAAUUUAUUUAUAUUAAUUUAAAAUAUUUUAUAAAUUAAUAAUUAAUUUUAUAAAAUUUAAUUAUUCCAAAAUUAGUAUAUAAAUUUAAAUAAUAGUAACUAAAAAUUUAAGUAUUUAAUAUAUGGUGAUUAGAAAUUACAAAAUUAGUUUCUAAUUUUAUUAUUUUUAGAAACCAAAAAUUAGUUUCUAAAAUAGAUUAAAAGUGACUAAAAAAAUGGUUUCUAAUUAUAUUUUAAUAAGAGACUAAAAAAUUGGUUUUUAUAAAUAUAUUUUUAUUAUUAGCUACCAAAAAUAUAGUAUCCAAUUAUAUUAUAUUUUUUAUUAAUAAUAGAUACCAUUUUAGUAACCAAUAAUUUUUAGUUUAUAAGAUGGUAUCUAAAUUAGUUACUAUAGAAACUUUUUUUUUUUAAUUUCUAAAUUAGUCACCAUUCAAUCAUUUUCUUGUAGUGUAUAAAUCAAAUUAACAUAACAUAUAUUUAAAUAUAAAUUAUGAAAGCUUUUAUAUAUAAAAAAAACUGUAAACAUAUUAUAUAAAUCAAAUUAACAUAACAUAUAUUUAAAUAUAAAUUGUUUGAAUGUACAUGACAAUGUUUGUAAUUAUUAUUAUUAUUAUUAUUAUUAUUAUAUAUAUAUAUAUUUUGACAAAUAUUUAAAAAUGUGACAACUCAUUUUUUUUUUAAAUUAAAAAUUAAUAGCAAAUAUAUUAAAAAUUACAAUAUAAAAAAAAGUUAAAUCCAUUUAUUACAAGAUGAUAUUGUUAUGGCACUAAAGGAUAUAAAAGACUUUGCAUGGAUACCUAGAUGGAAACCACCAGUUUCUGGAAGAAUGAAAAUAAACGUAGAUGGAAACUGAGUUAUCAUUCACUAAAUAUUGUCACAGGGAAGUCUAUAUAUAGAGAUCAAAAUUAUAUGUAGGUCUUUGGAUUUUCUUGUAAUACAUCGAAAGCUGAAAUUUUAGCCAUUUUGCAUGGAAUUCAUGUAACUACUUUAGAAUAUAAUAACAUGUAUUUGUAUAGUAUAGUUCACUCCAAAAUACAAAAUAAUAUAAACAAGUGAAACAUCAUGGACAACCAAGUGUUUAGAAUAAGAAGAUGGAUGCAAAUAAACAAUGUUCUGUAUUGGGAAAUAGUAUAUACUUUACCAGUAAAUAAUUUCAACAUUGAAUAUAUCUAGCUAGAUUUGAUUGUUUGAUCCUCCGUCACUGUUUCAUCUGGAAAUAGGAUAGGUUUUGGAGGUAUUUCUAAUUCUUCAAUAUCUCCUUCAAGCAUUUCCACUACUCUAUUCAUUGAGGGUCGAUCAUUUGGUUUUAGUUGUAUACACCAUAGUGCAACUAUGAUCAUUUUCUUUGCUAUUUUAUUUUCCUCCUCUGUUACAUCUUCGAUAUCUACAUCUUCCUCUUUUCGAAUAUGAUCAUAGAUCCAAAGGGGAAAGUAAAUUUGACUUGAGUGAUCUGCAUGAGUAUUUAGAUUCUUCCUCUUACUUGCCAUCUCCAUCAAUAACAUUCCGAAGCUAUAAACAUCAGCCUUAUAGGAUAUUCCUCCAAUAUUUUUAUAAAACAAUUCUGGAGCCAUAUAUCCAAUGGUUCCUCUUGCUGCAGUCAUUGUGACGAUGCUAUUAUCUAUUGUAUAUAAAUUUGCCAAUCCAAAGUCAGAAACCUUAGGGAUGAAGUUUUCAUCUAGUAAGAUGUUAUGGGGUUUGAUGUCAAAAUGCAAAAUUUGCAUCUCACACCCAUGGUGGAGAUAAGCAAUCCCACGAGCCACUCCUAUUGAUAUAUUAUAUAUCUUUUCAUAGCUUAAAUGUACACUUCCAUCUUUUGAGAAAAUAAAUUUAUCAAGAGAUCCAUUGGGCAUGAAUUCAUAGAUAAGAGCACGCUUUGAGCCACUAACACAAAAUCCAAUUAACCGUACCACAUUUUGAUGAUGUAUUCUUCCAAUGGUUGCAACUUCACUGAUAAAAUCUUGUCCAUUUCCUUUGGAUUUGCCUAACAUUUUGAUGGCCACAGAAGGUCCACUAAGUAACUUUGCCUUAAAGACAAAGCCAAAUCCUCCUUCACCUAACUUCUCUUUGAAACCUGCAGCCAUCUUCUUGACUUCUUUGUAUGAGUAUCUAAUAGGUGCCAAACUAUUUUGUUCAAGGUAAUUUUCAAUAUUUUCAUACAUUGACAUGUGUCUUUUUCUCCAUUUACAUAUAAAAAUAACAAUUAAGAAUGGCAAUCCAAACAAAACUUUGUAAGUCCAUACCAUAAAGAUAAUACAAAUGACAUAUCCUGUAGAAAUAAUUUACUUGAGUGAUUAUACUGAUACUGUAAAAUGCAACAAAAUAUUUAUUAAUGUAAAUUUUCGUUCAAAAAUGCAAACUUUACACAUCCAUUUACUUAGUAAAAUUUCAAUAAAUAAAUAAAUUUAAUGUCUAGCAUAAACAAUAAACCCUAAACCCUAAACAAUUAUCAACAGACACUAACACGAACACUGAUACGACAUGAAAAUACGUAUAAUAUAUAAAAUGUAGGACAAAGGGACACAAAUCUAUAUAUUAUAUAAUUAUGUAUUAUAUAAAUUGACAAUAAAAAUUUAUGUGCAUAAGUAUGUUCCAGAUUAUUUUUUGAAGCAGAAAAAUGUUUUUCAUAACUGGUUCAAAAGAAUUUGUUUCUUAUUUUUAUAAUCAUAAUAAAAAUUUAUACAAUAAGUUUGAGAUUUUAGAAAAUUAAUGUAUUUUUAAAAAAAAUUGUGUUAGAACCGUACUAGAAUUGUGAGAAAUCCAACAAAUACUUUUUGAAUUGGAUACUUCACAGAUACGUGUCCUACAAGUUUCAUACGAGUGUCGGUAUCCGAUAUGAGUAUUCGACAUCAACACGCCAUUUAAGAGAAGUGUCUAAGCUUCAUAGCGUUGUUGUCUAUAAGUAAAUUGUGUGGAACAUUAAUGUGUCCUAAGACCUAAUUCAAUGAUGCUUGUAAAAUACAAACAUAUUUUUAAAAUAAAAUUCUUUAUAAACUUUUAAAUUCAUUGUGUUACUCUAUAACCUCUUUAACGUAUUAAAAUCACAAUUUUUUAAGUUAUUAACAUUUUAUAUCGGUUAUAAACCUUUAUCUCUAUAACCAGACAAAAAGACUUGCAUUUGAAGUUUUGAUAAAGGUUCUGUUCGAGUAGUAUAAGUCACAGUGUACUCUCUUUUAUCCCUAUAUUCAUUGUUUAAUGAGGAAAUUGUGAUAAUAUUUACAACAAAAUUUUACUUGAGUGAAUAAGCAUCACUGUAAAGAGUCAUUCGAUUACACCCUAAACUUUACAGGACUACUUUUAUUUGUUUUAUAUUAUUUAAAUUGGCUAUAUUAUGUUACGAAAUCAUUUGUUAAAGUUAUACACCUAAAUAUAAUUAAUCUACAUUGAUUACAUUUUACGUAGGCGUAUUUUCGUUAAUAAAUUAAUAUUAACAAUCGAACCCAUGUAAUGAUGUUUUAUUAUAUAAUUAAUUAAUUUAAAACUACAUACAUUUACAGGUAUAAAAAAUUAUGUACAACCAAGUAUGCUACUAAAUAAGGACGUCAUAAAGUAUCAAAACUAAUUCUUAUUACUAUUAUGCUAAAUCAAGUCAUUUACUAUUAUUGAAAAAAUGUGGUGACUCUUUUAUAAAUAAGCGUAACUUUAUAACGAUGAAUGGUUGUAUAAAAAUUGUAAUAAAAUAUGUUUGUAUUAAGACUAUUAUGUUUGUAAUAAAAAUUCUUAUUACUAUUAUGCUAAAUAUGUUUGUAUUAAAUAACAAUGGUUACAACAUAUAGUUAUCAUCAUAUGUCUAUUAAUAUACUCAAAUCGUGUCAAUGCAAAUCGUUCCAUUUUGCAAUGUGCUUCUAAUGUUUUCUUCUUUUCCAUUGUGUUGCUCUCAUCAUCUAUACUCCUUCGUAUUUGUGCUAGUAAGAAAAUUUUAUUUUUAUAUCUAGUACAUUGACCUUAAAUAUGUUAAGUUUUUCUCAUGUACGAAUGAUAUGAUAGAGAUGAAUGACGCCUAGAGGUAGGGAACAAAAGGAAAACGAGACAUCUCAUAUUUCUCCACACAUUUUUCAGUAAACUUUAGCAAGUAUGAUAUGUGGAAAAUCAUCCAAAGUUGGAAAAGAGUUAGUGAAGUGUUCAUAUCUAGGAAACUAAAUGGUAGAGGACAAAUAUUUGACUUUGUGAGAUUCAAAGAGGUUGUGAAUGAAGUAGAAUUGGAAAAACGACUAGGUGAAGUCUCGAUAGGAAAUAUGAAAAGUCACAUAAACCAAAAUACAAGAGUUUUGAAAAUCACACAAACAACUAGAAAAAACAUGAAGGGAUGAACAUGGAGAAAAAGUCGAGAGAACAACAAAGUGGGUUUAGGGCAAUCUUGUUAGGAAGGAUAAAGAGGCGAAUUCUUUGCCCAUUUUUUGUAAGUUGUGGAGGUGUAAGGCAGUACCCUCUGCAGCGCUUAUAGCCUGGAGGUUGAUGGAAAACAAGCUCGCUACUAGGGUAAAUCUGAGUAGAAGAGGGGUAUUGGUGGAUAGCUCGACAUGUAGUUUGUGUGGGAAGGAGGAAGAAUCUUGCAGACAUUUUUUCUUCGAUUGCAACUUUGCUUGGCGAGUUUGGUAUAGAUGGCUUGGGGUUCUGGUCGUGUCCCACAUUGAGCCGAAGCUUAACUUUGAUCAAUUUAGGAUGAGCUUUGCUUCAGAGACAGUUAAUAUCGUAUGGAACACAAUAUGGGUUGGGGUGGUUAGAGAAAUAUGGAAUCUCAGGAAUAACAUAAUUUUCAAAAGAGGAAUGGCAGAUGCGUUUGAAGUUUUUUCUAUGGUGCAAGUAAAGGUUUGGUCUUGGGUCUAUAUAAAUUUUAGGUCAGCUUCGUUUUCCUUUUCUGAUUGGUGUUUAGAACCUAUGGUGUUCAUGAGGUUAAUCACUUGAGUUUGUUAGAUGUAGCAAGGGCAAGGUAUGUUUUAGUUAGUUCUGGAGGUUUUAGGCAGGAAUCGGUGUUUGGGUAUGUAUAAGGGUUGAACCACCCCUGAAGUGGUUCCUAUUUAUUUAUUUAUUAUUGCUGAUAAAAAAACAACAACAAAGUGGGUGAAGAAGGAGCAAUACUUUACUUAUGUACAAGCGAUAAAAUGUUACACUAAAAAGGAAGGUAAAAAGAUACAAUGGAAAAUACAGCUCCAAGUGUAAGAGGAGGAAAAGAUGUAGAUGAACAAAAGUUUUGAAGGGAAAUACAUGGUGUGAGUAAGAUGAAUAUACUAAAUGAAAACUUUAUCUUUGCUGAGCUAGAUUCAUCAUAAUAAGAUAUUUAGGAGAUAAUCAAAUGAAUGAUUUUCAAACACAUUUGAGUAUCCUUAGUCAUCUCAAACAAUGUCAGGAAACAAGAUGGAAUAGGUGAGGUGUAGAGACAUACCAUACCACUAUCCUUAUCGGGUAUCAAAUUUCAAACAAAAUGCCAGUCGUGGGGGUGGAAAGAUCUAUUUAAAUUAUGUGGUGAAGGAGUUACGGUGGGAUGGUUCCAAAAAGCAAUAGGAUGGAAAUUUGGAGUAGGGGACAAAGUUAGAUUUUGGGACGAUAAAUUGGGUUCAUAAUAAUAAUCUUAAAUUUGUAUACCCCAGGCUAUAAUCAAUAUCUUUGGAUCAUGGCUUAGAGGUGGGAGAGGUAGGCGUGUGGGAAGAAUUAGAUUGGCAAUGGAAACUAAGCUGGAGAUGUAAUAGGUUUGAAUGGGAACUAUUGCAUAACAAGAAGAAUUGUUAAGGACAUUAUCUUGUAAAAAACUGAAUAGGGAGGUGAAGGAAACAAAAGUUUGGGAGGGUGACGACUUCUCAGUCAAAUCUGCUUACGAAUGCAUAACAAAUGACGUCAAAGGUAGUAGCAAUGCUACAUUUAAAUAUCUAUGGAUGUCUAAAGCGCUCCCAAGCGUGCUAACUACAACGUGAAGGGCUUUAUUGGAUAGAUUGCCAACAAGAGUGAAUUUAAAUAGGAGAGACGUAGUGGUAAAUAACUUAUUUGUGUUUUGUGUCAAGAUUGGGCAGAAUCGACUCAAUACUUACUUUUGAAAUGUAAGAUUGCAUAUCAGGUAUGGAACUACUAUUUCAAAUGGAUUGGACUUUUGUUCGUCCAACAUAAGGAGUUGAAAUGCCACAUUGAGAGUUUCCAUUUGGUACAUGUAAGUCUAAAGCAAAAUCUUGUGUGAAAAGGUCUUUGAACGGCUAUAUAGUAUGGAUAAUUUUGGACCAUAGGAAUAAACUUUUCUGUCAUGAGUAGAUAAGACUAAGAGGAAUAAGGUGUUGCGUGAAGAACUAUUAGAACAAUGAUUUUUUUUGGUUUGGUGGUUCAUUAAGCACAAAUCUUUCAAAGUGAAGGAAAAAAUUCCUUGAGGUGAAGCAGAUUGGUGCAGCAAAAUUAGACUGCUUUUGAUGCUGCUCUACUUAUAAAUAGCUAGGUAAUAAGCAGUAGGAAUAUAUAAAUAUACUUAUAUCUAGAUAGAGAUAAUACAAUAGAUUUUGGUGUAAUUUUGGUUUGUAAGGUCUAUAACUUAUUGUACUUUGUAUAAGAGGUAGAAUAUUUUUGAAAUGAUUCAUUUUAAUUCAUUUUAUUUUUUUCUGUCAAAAAAAGAAAUUAAGAUGAUAAAAUCUGACCUGGUAUACUGAAUUCCAGUGAUUCAUAAAAUGAUGACCCUGAAAUGAAGGAAAAAAAUAUCAACUUUAGAAUACUGGUAAUCUCAACAGUUAUUCCACAUAAAGUUAUUAAAGCUAAAAUUUUAUUCCCCUAAAUAAACAAAAUUAUUUAUAUCAAUUUGCAUAAACUAAAAUUGGCAGUUAUACUGAUAAAACUACUCAAUAUAUAUAUAAGUUUCUCAUUUAAAAUAAGAAAUGUAAUCAUAUCUUAAUAUUUGGUUUAGGAUCACUCACGGCAUUGAAGCUUCUGGUUAGAAGAGUCCAAAUAGCAAUAUCUAUCGGAAAGUGAACAAUGUUUGUGACAGGCAAGUUUUAUCCAUGAUAUCUCAAAUCCAUAGGCGAGUGCAGUGUGCAUGGAAGAGUAGGAAUGGUAAUCGAAAGUGGAGAGAGAAGUGGGAGCAACAAGCUUUACCUCACACCCAACUUCUAAGUCCUCUGCUUUUAGGUCUCCACCAAUUGCAUAUGCAUACCCCUUCCCCUCCCAUUUCACCCACUCUCCACUCUCCACAUACUUCCCUUUCUCUCUCACCCAAUCCUUACAAUUCACAAACACUAUAUGCGAGAAACUCAGAGAUUCCCAAUUUACAGAGGCUCUUAGACCGGCUUGGUAUGAAUCCGUGUAGUAAGCGUAAGUGUCAGAGAAAUUGGAGCGAGAGAGGGAACGGAGAGGAAGGGAGGAGAGAUUAUGGUGUUGAAGAGCAGGAUCAACCACUCUCACUGUGUAGUUAUUGUAGUUUAUUGACUGCACAUGAUAUUUUGCAGAGUACAGAUACAACACCGUAACGUUAUUCUCACAACCAAGUUCAUACCUUUCCUCACCACACUUUUCUGGGUCGCCUUUUAAUCGAAAUGGAUAACUGAUGUUGCUGAUUUUACCACAGGAAGAAGGGGGACAAACGUGUUCUAGGUCGUCCUUGGUAGCAGAAAUAUGGUGGAGUAGAAGUAGCAGUACCACCAACACUGCUCUCUCUCUCCACAUCAUGUCUAAACUGUUUCUCACUGAAUUCAAGUGCAAACAAAUCCAAGUUAGAUAUUUAUAUUUAAACAUCACAUACUGGAAUAUAUAGCUAUAAAGGACCACAUUUUUUUUUUUUGAAGAGUUAUGAUACUUAAAACGUAGACUUUGACUCAGAAACCGCGUUUCUAUCUGGUUUCCGCAACUAAUUUUAAUCAAUACAAGCUUAUAUUUUGAAAAAUAAUUUUAAUGACUUUAGAAUUUGAGUCCCAAAAUAAUGUUUGUUUGGUUAAGAAACUUCAACAUGUGAUUGGUACAUAUAUUAUUUUGGUUGAAUUUUUCCCCGAAAAUGGCCUCAUAUAUAUGUUUCUUUGUGUUAAUUUCUUGAACAUAAUCUUCUUGGACAUGGAGCAAGAAAGAGUGCUACCAAGUGUGGUGGCAGAACGAAGCACUAACAAUUUUCUGUAAGUGUAAAAGGUAACGGACAGAGAAAAACAUAUGGAAGCAAUUCCGAACAGGCCUUAUUUAAUAAAUUUGUUUUCAUAAUUAAACAAUUAAACAGAUUUAUAAUACCAUUUUAAUAAAUCUAUUUUCAUAUUACAAAAAUUAAAUACUACACAAAGUUAUACAUCAAAUUGAAAAAUAGAACAAAGUUAAUGUUGGUUUAAAAGUACACCAAGGUACAUACACAAAAUAUUUUUAAAUAUGAUAACAUUGUAUUAGAUUAUUACAAUCAUUUUCCUUAAUCAGUUUUGUUUUCACCACUUCAUUCAGUGAUGAAACAUCACUUCACAUAAGGUGCCAACAUCUCGUACUUAAAAUAGAUAAAAACUAAUUUCAGAUUAUUCAUUUUCAAUUUUUAUAACUAUAAAAUAAAGGAAGACACUAAAAAUAAAGAUUUUAGUAUACUAAGUUAUAACCCAUUCCAAUAAACAUAAUUUUAGGUUAUUUGAAAAACCUUUCUUUAACAUCAUUAGAAGUUUUAGAUGUACUAUAAACUAGAGAGUUAUAAAAAUAAAGAAAUGUAUUUUUCUAUUAAAAAUAACAAUUAAAUAUAAUUAUUUUUGAAUUUCUUUAAAGUUUAUAUUAAAAAAAUUACAAUUACUACUACAACUAAUUUAUUUUAUAGUUAUCCUUAUUUAAUGGGAUGUUUUUUCUUACUCUUGAAAGAAAUAAAAUAAUGUAUAUAUUUGUUUAAAAUCGAAAUUCAGUUAACAUUUGAUAAAAUAAUAGAAAAGUGAAUGAAAUCUAUAUUACAUAAAUAUGAAAAGUUAUACAUUUUAUUUGAAUUUUGAUAAUAAUAUUGACUUUGAAGCCAGUGCAUUUUAAUUUAGUAUAAUGAUAUUGACUUGAAUUUUCAGAGUUUGGAAAAUCUCUUAGUGAAUGGUUUAUCCCAUAUUCAUCACCCUGAUCAAUUGUGUGAGACUUGCAUUUUUGGAAAGAAUCAUAAGAUACAUUUUGUUAAGGAGCCUUGGCGUGCGAAAUUUCCUUUGCAGCUUGUUCAUACAGAUGUUUGUGGCCCGAUGAACAUAUCAUCAAUUGGAUGUAAUAAGUAUUUUUUAACCUUUAUUGAUGAUUUUUCAAGGAAAACCUGGAUUUAUCUAUUGAAAAGCAAGGAUGAGGAGGUAUUCCACUGCUUUAAAAUAUUUAAAGAAUUUGUUGAAAGACAGAGUGACAGACUAAUUAAGAUGGUGCGUAGUGAUGGAGGAGGUGAGUACAAGUCUAAUGAGUUCAAGAGGCACUGUGAAGAACUUGGGUUGCAGCAUAACAUAAUUUGUCCCUACACACCUCAACACAACGGAGAUGCCGAGAGAAAAAAUAGAACAAUCAUGGACAUGGUGAGGAACAUGUUUAAAGCGAAUGGUAUGCCAAAUUAUUUUUAGGCUGAGGCCGUAACAUGUGCGGUAUAUUUGAUAAACAGAUCACCCACUUGGAGUGUUCCUAACAACUAUGAUUGAAGCAUGAAGCGGAUUCAAACCCAAUGUGCAACACUUGAAGGUAUUUGGGUCAAUUAAUUAUGCUCAUGUCCCCAAAGCAGCAAGAUCGAAGUUGGAUGAUAAGACAGUGAAUACCAUUUUCAUUGGAUAUAAGCUUGGAGGAUACAAACUAGACAGUCCAAUUACAAAGAAGGUGAUUGUCAGUCAUGAUGUUACAUUUGUCGAAGAUAAGGAAUGACAAUGGAAUGCAACAACUGAAAUGGAUUCGAAAAAACGAUAUAUUUACGUUUUGAACGAUGAUGUAGAAGAUCAAGUCACUCUUGAAGCAUCUGCAGUUCAACCUGAAGCUGUAUUCAACCUAAAGUUGCAGCUCCAAUUGUAACUAUGAUGGAGCGACCAAAAAGGCAACAACGACAACCUGUACACCUUCAAGAUUGCGAAGUAAAUCUUGAGGAUGAAGUUUAUGACAAUGGAUAUUUGGUUCACUUUGCUUUUCUUGUAGAUUCAGAACCCGUGAGACUUGCAGAUGCCAUUCAACAUCCCAAAUGGCAAGAGGCUAUGAAUGAAGAAUUGAUGGCGAUUGAGAAAAAAAAAUACAUGGCAACUCACUGAUCUUCCAAAAGGACACAAGGCAAUUGAUGUGAAGUGGGUGUACAAGAUUAAAGUGAAAGCAAAUGGUGAGAUUGAUAGAUACAAGGCAAGGUUGGUGGCAAAGGAAUCCGAGCAAAGAGAAGGCUAUGAUUACGAAGAAAUAUUUUCUCUUGUAGCUCGAAUGGAAACAAUGAUAUUAAUCAUUGCUUUAGUUGCACAAAGGCAAUGGAAAAUUCACCAAAUGGACGUCAAGUUUGCGUUUCUAAAUGACCCACUUGAUGAAGAGGUUUAUGUAAAGCAACCGUCGGGUUUCAUACAAUCUGGAAAAGAGGAGAAGGUGUACAAACUAACUAAGACUUUAUAUGGUCUUAAACAGGCACCAAGAGCUUGGAACAAAAGGAUUGAUUCAUUUUUUCAUGCCACUGGAUUCAAAAAAAUGUACAUCAGAUCAUGGUCUUUAUGUAAAGACUAAUGAUUAUGGAGAUUUGCUAAUUUUAUGUCUUUAUGUUAAUGAUGUGAUUUUUACAGGAAGUAAUCUCAAAAUGAUUGGUGACUUCAAGCAUAUCAUGAUGAAGGAAUUUGAGAUGACUGAUCUUGGUCUUAUGUCCUACUUUUUUGUCAUUGAAGUCAUCCAAAGAGACGAUGGAAUCUUCAUUCAUCAGAGGAAAUUUGCUGCUAAGUUUUUAAAGAAGUUUAGGAUGGAGGAUUCAAACUCAGUUAAGACUCCAAUUGAAAUUGGAAUUAAGCUUACGAAGGAAGGUAAUGGGCAAACUGUAGAUGCAACAUACUUUAAGUAGAUUGUUGGGAGUCUUAGAUAUCUCACGUGUACUAAACCCGACAUAUGUUAUGAUGUGGGAUUGGUCAGUCGAUACAUGGAGUCACAUCGACAAGUUCAUUUACAAGUUAUAAAGAGAAUUAUGCACUACAUCAAAGGUAGUACAACUUUUGGUUUAUUUUACUCUUCAUCUAAGAAGAUUGAGAUCGUCAGAUACUCAGACAGUGAUUGGGGUGGAGAUUCAGACGAGAGGAAGAGCACUAGUGGUCAUUGUUUUAUGAUCGAAAAGACUGUUUGCUUGUGGUCAUCAAAUAAACAGUCAAUUGUUGCAUUAUCUACUUGUGAAGUUGAGUAUGUAGCAGCAACAACAAGUGUUUGUCAAUAAGUUUGGUUCAACAAUAUCAUGACUCAAAUUUUGGUUUUAAUCUAGAUGUUCCAAUCAAGAUUUAGGUUGGCAAUGUCUCUGCAAUUAAUCUCGCAAAGAAUCUGGUAUUUCAUCAAAGAAGUAAACACAUUGAUAUUCGAUAUCACUUCCUACGAGACCAAAAGUUGGGAAGAACAUGAUCAAAUCGGAAUACUGUUAGUAUUCCUAUUUUAUAACUUCUAGUAUUUGUAAUUUUAUUAUAUAUAUAUAUUAUUGAAGUAAAUCAAAAUGAAUGUAUGAGUUCGACAAUUUUGCAAUUUCGCACAAUUACAUCAUCAAUUUAUACAAUCUUUUGCCUUCUGUUAUUUCCUUCAAUUAGUUUCUACAAAUUUGACAAUCAAACAUAUCAUUAUAACCUAGGUUAACAUAAAUUUAUCUUUCACCAAAAGAUGUUACAUGUCGAACAUAUAAAUAUUUUUAUCUAAACAACAAAAAAUUAAAAACUAAAUAUUGAACUAAAAAACAUAAUUCAUUGACAUGAAAAUUUUGAUAAAGUAGGAUUGACCUAAUUUUUAUCUUUUCCUACUUUAAUGUAAACUUUAUGAUGUUGUAGUUUACACUAUAUGAAAUAGAAAAGAUAAAUAAUCAUCUAAAAAUUUAGAGGAAAAAGUUGAGAAAAAUUGAUUUGCGUAGGUGAGACUCAUGAUACAUUAUCCAUUCAAUUCAAAAAAAAUUAUUCUUUUACAUUCCAUAAGUCAACACAAAUAUAUAUAUAUAUUUUUUAAUAUCUCGGUAAAGUGGGUUUGGCUUACGUAAUGUUUUUCCUCCCCUUAGCGCUAACUUUACUGUGUUCCAUCAUCAGUGGACAUCAAUAUGUGACAAUUAAUUCUUUUUUUUUUCUUAUAGUGGUUAAAUUAGAAUUAUUGACUAUAAUAACAUCCCAUUUAGGUCGAGGAAAUUUUGAAAACUAAAUUCAUGUUUGCAAUAUGAAAUAUUAGAAAAAUAAUAAAUUACGAUGCUUAAAAACAUUUAUUUUGUAUUUAAUCAAUUGUUAAUCAUAUAAAUUAUCAACUAUUAAUGAAAUAUUUAGAAGUGAUAAAUAAUAAUUUUGUAAACAUAUUUAUAUAUUUGUUUAAAAUAUAAAUUGUUUGAGUGUGAAUGAUGAUGUUUGCAAGUAUUAUAUAUAUUUUAAGAAAUAUUUAGAAAUGUGACAAUAUAAAAUUAAAAAUUAAUAACAAAAUAUAUUAAAAAUUACAAUGUAAAAAAUUUAAGUUAAAACUUAAUAUCCGCGAAAAGAGUUUUUUUUAAAAAAAAAAAUUAAAUAUAAUCAUCGCGUGUUUUAUCGACAACGCGUGUAAUCAUUACUUUUGUUUAAUUACAUGCACGGAGGUUUUCUUUUUGCUGCAGCAGUAUUGUGGAUCUGUAAAUGAAGAAACAAUCGUAUUUUUUAUGAUGAAGUAUGGAAGAUCCGUGAAGUUUUGUGAAAAAAAUCCAUUUACUACAAGAUGAUUUUGUUAUGGCACUAAAGGAUAUAAAGGACUUUGCAUGGAUACCUAGAUGGAAACCACCAGUUCUGGGAAAAUGAAAAUAAAGGUAGAUGGAAGCUGAGUAACUAAAUAUUGUGACAAGGAAGUCUAUAGGGAUCAAAUAUCUACGUAGGUCUUUGGCUUUUCUUCUUAUAAUACAUCGAAAGCAAAUUUUUUGGCCAUUUUGCAUACAAUUUAUGCAACUAUUUUAGAAUAUAAUAACAUGUCCUUAUAUCCAUAGUUCAUUACAAAAUACAAAAUAAUAUAAACAAGUGAAACAUCAUGGACAACCAAGUCUUUAGAAUAAGAAGAUGGAUGGCAAAUAACUAGGCUUGUGCAUCGUGGAAUAAUAUAUAUUUACAAGUAAAUAAUUUCAACAUUAAAUAUAUCUAGUAAGAGUUGAUUGUUUGAUACUCUGACACUAUUUCAUCUUCUGGAAAUAAAAUAGGUUUUGGAGGUAUUUCCAACUCUUCAAUAUCUCCUUCAAGCAUUUUCACUACUUUAUUCAUUGAGGGUCGAUCAUUUGGUUUUAGUUGUAUACACCAGAGUGCAACUAUGAUCAUCUUCUUUGCUAUUUUAUUUUCUUCUUCUGUCACAUUUUCGACAUCUACAUCUUCCCCUUCCCUAAUAUGAUCAUAGAUCCAAAGGGGAAAGUAAAUUUGACUUGAGUGGUCUGCAUGAGGAUUUAGAUUCUUCCUCUUACUUGCCAUUUCCAUCAACAACAUUCCAAAGCUAUAAACAUCAGCCUUAUGGGAUAUUCCUCCAAUAUUUUUAUAAAACAAUUCUGGAGCCAUAUAUCCAAUAGUUCCUCUUGUUGCAGUCAUUGUGACGAUGUUAUUAUCUAUUGGAUAUAACUUCGCCAAUCCAAAGUCAGAAACCUUAGGGAUGAAGUUUUCAUCUAGUAAGAUGUUAUGGGGUUUGAUGUCAAAAUGCAAAAUCUGCAUCUCACACCCAUGGUGGAGAUAAGCAAUCCCACAAGCCACUCCAAUUGAUAUAUUAUAUAUCCUUUCAUAGCUUAAAUGUAUAUUUAUUUCUUUUGAGAAAAUAAAUUUAUCAAGAGAACCAUUGGGCAUGAAUUCAUAGACAAGAGCACGUUUUGAGCCACUAACACAAAAUCCAAUUAAUCGUACCACGUUUUGAUGAUGUAUUCUUCCAAUGGUUGCAACUUCACUGAUAAAAUCUUGUCCAUUUCCUUUGAAUUUGCCUAACAUUUUGAUAGCCACUGAAGGCCCACUGCGCAACUUUGCUUUAAAGACUGAGCCAAAUCCUCCUUCACCUAACUUCUCUUUGAAACCUGCAGCCAUGUUCUUGAUUUCCUUGUAUGAAUAUCUAAUAGGUGCCAAACUAUUUUGUUGAAGAUAAUUUUCAAUAUUUUCAUAUAUUGACAUAUGUCUUUUUCUCCAUUUACAUAUAAAAAUAACAAUUAAGAAUGGUAAUCCAAACACAACUUUGUAAAUCCAUAUAUAUGCGACAUCUCCUGCAAUAAAAUUUUACUUUAAUGAUAACCCUUAUAGUAUAAAAUGCAAAAAGGUAUUUGUUAAAGUAAAUUCCCGUUCAUAAAAUCCUAAGUUUACAUAUCCAUUUACUUAGUAACAUUACAAAAAAAGUAAAUUUAAUAUUUAGCAAUAAACGAUUAUCAAUAAACUUCAUUUUUUAUGUUACUCUCUAUAAAUAAAUUUUUCUGUAACAUUAAUGUGUCCUAAGACCUAAUUCAGUAAAGAUUGUAAAAAAUAAAAAAAAAACAGAUUUUUAAAUAAUUUAUUAGUUUCUAUAAACUUUUAAAAUUCAAUCCGUGUCCCUCUUAACAUUUUUAACGUAUUGAAAAUCACAAUAUUUUAUCUUUAAUGUAAUUAACAUUUAUUAUCGGUUAUUAACCUUUAUUUAUACCACUUUAAUUAAAAUUUUGAUUUUUUAAAUUAGAUGAAGAAAAUAUAAGAAAAUUUUUAGAUAAAUUAAAACUGAAUUUUAAAAGAAGUGGAGUACAUAAUUAGAGUAGAGAUAAAUUAAGAUAAUAAAAUAUCAAUUUCAGAGUGUGUUGACAAAAAAGACUGUGAGAUAAUAAAGGUUGUGUUGGAUUAGUAUAAAUGACGUGGAAGAUGAUAAUGUGACUGUAAGAAGAAAUGGACUAAUGGUUGUCCAAAUUAAAAACUAAAUUUAUUAUAAUUUUGUUUCAUGUGGAUUGUCUAGUUUAUGGUUGCGUUCUCUAAUGAUGAAAUAGAGACAACAAAACAUCUGUUUUGUAGAAUGU
rnacentral:lncRNA from 1 species